rnacentral:tRNA from 1 species
GCCCCUGUGGCGUAGUGGUCAACGCGCUCCGUUAAUGGUGGAGAGACCUUGGUUCGAAUCCGAGCAGAAGCA